GUGACGGGAGCCGCCGGGCGCUGAGGCCGCGGGAGGGUUGGGGGCUGCGGCCUGAGUGGGAGAGGGGAACAGGUCAGCGCCGACCCUGAGCCUCGGCAAACACCCAUGGUUCCAGACGUCCGAAGACACAGAAAUGCUCAAGAUACGCACAGAGGAGCCAGGCGUGGUGGAGCACACCUAUAACCCCACUACUUGGGAGGCUGGGCCUGAAGGAUCAUGUGUUUGAGGCCAUUUCGAGCUACAUACCGAGUUCAAGUUACAGGCCCAACAAUAUCUGUACCAGGCUGGGAGGUGUGAUCACCCAGUGGCAGAGUGCUUGCCUAGCCUGCCUAACGCCCUGCGUUGGGAUCCCCAGCUUCCGAAAACAAAAAGAUGGCUUAUUGUUGGUUUCCUCUCCCACAGGCCUGACCACUGCAGGUAUGCCCCUGAGCCUCACCUUGGCCCAAGAUUUCCCUGGAUAUAGCCACUUGACUGCAGUAGUCUCGGACACCUAGGACUCUGAACACCCCUGAUGAAUUUCCCUACAGCUCCCGCCUGUCCUCUAAAGAACUCUAGAUGACAAACUUCUUCCACCAUAUUUCUGGGAACUCUGCUUCUCCCAGGUGAAGACACAGUAGGCAGCCAUCUACAAGCCAAGAACCUUUAGCAGGAGCCGAAUUGGACAGCAUCUUGAUUUUGGACUCCAGUUUACAGAACUGUGAGAAAUAAAUUUCUGCUGUUACAGCCACCCAGUCAGUAAUAUUUUGUUAUGGAAGUCCAAGAUGAUUAUGACAAGAAAUAAAGGUGCCACAAACAGUUUUUUACAAGUCUUCGUGUAGACAUAUGCUGAGUAAAUACUCAGAAUGGCUGGAUGUUUUGUGUAUAUUUAACUUUUUUUUUUU
ensembl:lncRNA